CUUUUUUUUUUAUUAUAUUUAACCGGAUGGCCGACGGAAAACUUUAUUUAGUGAGAUCGGGAUGAUGGGAAUUUAAAAUAUAUGAGAAUUUUGUUUUUCACGUUCGUCAUCGCCUUUCUCAAACAUGUGUCCGGGUCCUCCGAAUCCUUGGCCAACGCUCCUGCAAAAAUAGCUGUGCAUAAACCCUUUGCGGGAUUUUUUUUGGCACAAAACAUUUCAUCAUCCACUUUCGGCUAACGGAACCCAUUGAAACCC